rnacentral:rRNA from 1 species
CGAUAGCGUAUAUUAAAGUUGUUGCAGUUAAAAAGCUCGUAGUUGGAUUUGUGGCGUACGGUGGGUUCCGGGCACUUGUUGUCGGAGUAACUUGCUGUUGCCAUCCUUGGGUGGAACCUGUGUGGCAUUAGGUUGUCGUGCAGGGGAUGCCCAUCAUUUACUGUGAAAAAAUUAGAGUGUUCAAAGCAGGCUUAUGCCGUUGAAUAUAUUAGCAUGGAAUAAUGAGAUAGGACUUUUUUGCUAUUUUGUUGGUUUGCGCAAAGAGGUAAUGAUUAAUAGGGACAGUUGGGGGUAUUCGUAUUCCAUUGUCAGAGGUGAAAUUCUUGGAUUUUUGGAAGACGAACUACUGCGAAAGCAUUUACCAAGGAUGUUUUCAUUAA